AGAGAGAGAAGGCUGUCUCUCUGUAGAUGGCUGUGUUUCAACUGUACUGAGAAAUGGAAAAAGUCAGUUGGCCAAGCAAAAGUGCUAAGAGCAGAGAGGAGUCAAGAAUCCUCAUGGGCUUCCAGUGCCUGGUUCAAGGUGUCAGGAUCUAUACAGCCUGGCUUCUCUACUGCCUGAAGGGAAAUGAGACAAGCAGGACUAAGUGGAAACCCAGCUCCAAGAACAGCAUUCAACCCAGGAUGCAGGGCUGACACAGAAGAGCCAGGGCAACUCACCAAAACUAUGGGAACUCCCACCUGAUGUGCCUUUAAACCAGGCCCCCUCCUGCCUCAACCUCCUCUUCACCCACACGUAAGCAAUAAAAACCCAGGCUAAUAAGAUCGCAAGACAGAGAACAUGUGGGUGGUUAUUUAUGUUUCAUACCCUUCUCCAUUAAGUUACAUGUUGGCCUAAGUCCUUCUGAAAAUAAAUGUCUGUUUUAAAACAAAAAAAAAAAAAAA
rnacentral:lncRNA from 1 species